GGCAAGCGAAGUAGGCCAAACUACUUGCACGAUCCCUCUGUGAUCUUCGGAGUACGCGCAAAAGCCGCUCUGGCGCAUGCGCACGACAAAAAGGUGCCGGCAAUUGGUGUAGCAGCUGGAGAUGGUGCGGCCGGCAGGGCUCUGGCGCUUAUGUUGGCGACCUUGGGCGGCGAGGGUCUCAGCGGAGAACACUGGCCGUAGGGAAGUCACCUCUGGUGUCUCUCCUCGCGGGAGCACCUCGCUCAGAGCGCUAAAUAUCUUCGACCGGGAUUUGAAAAGGAAACAGAAGAACUGGGCGGCCCGGCAGCCGGAGCCUACGAAGUUUGACUACCUGAAGGAGGAGGUUGGAAGUCGGAUCGCAGACCGUGUAUAUGACAUACCCAGAGCUUUCCCCCUUGCUUUGGAUCUUGGUUGUGGAAGAGGUUACAUUGCACAAUAUUUGAAUAAGGAAACUAUUGGAAAGUUCUUCCAAGUCGACAUUGCAGAAAAUGCUUUGAAAAAUUCCUUAGAAACAGAAAUUCCUACAGUCAGCGUUUUAGCUGAUGAAGAAUUCCUUCCCUUCAGAGAAAAUACAUUUGACCUGGUGGUUAGCAGUUUAAGUUUGCACUGGGUGAAUGACCUUCCUAGAGCACUUGAGCAGAUUCAUUAUAUUUUAAAACCAGAUGGAGUAUUUAUCGGUGCAAUGUUGGGAGGCGACACACUCUAUGAACUUCGGUGUUCCUUACAGUUAGCGGAAACAGAAAGGGAAGGAGGAUUUUCUCCACACAUUUCUCCUUUCACUGCUGUCAAUGACCUGGGACAUCUGCUUGGGAGAGCUGGCUUUAAUACUCUGACUGUGGACACUGAUGAAAUUCAAGUUAACUAUCCUGGAAUGUUUGAAUUGAUGGAAGAUUUACAAGAGAACACCAGACCUAAAAUGCUCUUGCCUGGAGGUUUGAUUCCGUGAUACCUUGAACUAACUUCCCAAGGUGUUACAAAAGGAAGUAGAGGUGGAGCAGAGGAGAUGGAGAGGAGAAUUUCCAGAAGUAAAUGUGGUUAGUGAAGCUGAGUUGCAGUCAGGAAUUUUGAAGAAGUGCUGCUGCUGCUGUUGUGUUGGUUCUGGAAACACGUGUGUCAUUGCACACUUCAUGAUGGACUUACAUUAGAGAGGGAAGUUGUGUCAGACUGGGCUGGGAGUGAAGCAAGGUGGGUGUGGACAAGUUCUUCAUUCAGUACUUAUUGAGCACCUACUAUAUACAAAGCUCUGGACACCAAGAGAUGAGAGGAACCUGAUCACUGCCCUCCCAGAGCUCACAGCCCAGCCGACUAGAGACCACGAGGAAGCUAACACUGUGCCUUUUCUUGGGACCAAAAGUACUUUGAUUGAGGCACCGAUGUGGAAGGCACUGUGCAAUGCUCAUACCUGGAUAAAUAGAACAGGGUCACUGCCUUCGUUAAACUGGUAUAAGGUGACAUGGGCACUCAACCAUAGUUCAAGGUAGAAUAUAAGAAGUGCCAGAAAAGAUGUCUAACCAUGAGCCUUACCAGUUCCAAGGAAAGUGAGUGCUGUUUGUGUGGUGGAGAGGGUGGUUUCAGGAAAGCCUUCAUCCAUGUUUUCGUUCAUUCCACCCAAACCACACCAUGCCGGCGGCUGGGGUGUAAGGAGGAAGAAAUCCCAGCCAUUAGGAGACCUCCAGCCAAGUGGAGCAAAACAACAAUAAACAAUACAGUAUCUCUUCAAUUCUAAGUGCCUUCGAUUGCAAAUUGCAUCCUGAUUUUGGAGAUGUUAAAAUUUGGAUAAAGAUGUAUUUUAGAAUUAAUGGAAUAAAGGAGUAAUAGAUAACUCAGAUGCUUACUAUCGACCAGGCACUGUCCUAAGUGCUUAUAUGUAUCACUUUUUACUUAUCUAAUAAAAGGCAAUUACAUGCAGUGACAAGUGGCUUUUGGGAAACACAGUGAAUAAAUGAGGAAGUGAAUGAAUAAACGCUAGAAGAAUAAACCCUUAAUAAACCCUUUGUCUUCCAUCCUUAGACCAUCUGGAGAAGGCAGUUCCUGGUCUAAGAAUUUAGAUCCUUACAAAUGGUAAUUUCCAAACUUUAGUGUUGUCAAGGAAACCACUAAGAGAUAGAUAUAGAUAGCUCGGUAAUGAUCCCAUUCCUUAUUUCUAACAAGUCCAAAGAAGCAGUGGGGUGUGUGUGUGUGUGUGUGUUGUGAGGGAGAAGAGCGAUACAAAGAAUUAAAAAACCAUUACAGG